rnacentral:rRNA from 1 species
GACGAACGCUGGCGGCGUGCUUAACACAUGCCAGUCGAACGGAAAGGCCCUGCUUUUGUGGGGUGCUCGAGUGGCGAACGGGUGAGUAACACGUGAGUAACCUGCCCUUGACUUUGGGAUAACUUCAGGAAACUGGGGCUAAUACCGGAUAGGAGCUCCUGCUGCAUGGUGGGGGUUGGAAAGUUUCGGCGGUUGGGGAUGGACUCGCGGCUUAUCAGCUUGUUGGUGGGGUAGUGGCUUACCAAGGCUUUGACGGGUAGCCGGCCUGGGAGGGUGACCGGCCACAUUGGGACUGAGAUACGGCCCAGACUCCUACGGGAGGCAGCAGUGGGGAAUAUUGCACAAUGGGCGGAAGCCUGAUGCAGCAACGCCGCGUGUGGGAUGACGGCCUUCGGGUUGUAAACCGCUUUCGCCUGUGACGAAGCGUGAGUGACGGUAAUGGGUAAAGAAGCACCGGCUAACUACGUG